rnacentral:rRNA from 1 species
AAUAGAUACCCCGGUAGUCCACGCCGUAAACGAUGAGUGCUAAGUGUUAGAGGGUUUCCGCCCUUUAGUGCUGCAGCAAACGCAUUAAGCACUCCGCCUGGGGAGUACGGCCGCAAGGCUGAAACUCAAAGGAAUUGACGGGGGCCCGCACAAGCGGUGGAGCAUGUGGUUUAAUUCGAAGCAACGCGAAGAACCUUACCAGGUCUUGACAUCUCCUGACAACCCUAGAGAUAGGGCGUUCCCCUUCGGGGGACAGGAUGACAGGUGGUGCAUGGUUGUCGUCAGCUCGUGUCGUGAGAUGUUGGGUUAAGUCCCGCAACGAGCGCAACCCUUGAUCUUAGUUGCCAGCAUUCAGUUGGGCACUCUAAGGUGACUGCCGGUGACAAACCGGAGGAAGGUGGGGAUGACGUCAAAUCAUCAUGCCCCUUAUGACCUGGGCUACACACGUGCUACAAUGGAUGGUACAAAGGGCUGCGAGACCGCGAGGUUAAGCGAAUCCCAUAAAACCAUUCUCAGUUCGGAUUGCAGGCUG